UACGUAGGUGGCAAGCGUUGUCCGGAUUUAUUGGGUUUAAAGGGUGCGUAGGCGGCUUUGUAAGUCAGUGGUGAAAUAUGGCAGCUUAACUGUCAGGGUGCCAUUGAUACUGCAGAGCUUGAGUACAGAUGAGGUAGGCGGAAUUGACGGUGUAGCGGUGAAAUGCUUAGAUAUCGUCAAGAACACCUAUAGCGAAGGCAGCUUACUAGGCUGUAACUGACGCUGAGGCUCGAAAGCAUGGGGAGCAAACAGG
rnacentral:rRNA from 1 species